UACAGAGGGUGCAAGCGUUAAUCGGAAUUACUGGGCGUAAAGGGUGCGUAGGCGGCCUCGCAAGUCAGAUGUGAAAGCCCCGGGCUUAACCUGGGAACUGCAUUUGAAACUGCAAGGCUAGAGUAUGGGAGAGGUAAGCGGAAUUCCGAGUGUAGAGGUGAAAUUCGUAGAUAUUCGGAAGAACAUCAAUGGCGAAGGCAGCUUACUGGACCAUCACUGACGCUGAGGCACGAAAGCGUGGGGAGCAAACAGG
rnacentral:rRNA from 1 species